GAUGAACGCUGGCGGCGUGCCUAAUACAUGCCAGUCGAGCGAACAGACGAGGAGCUUGCUCCUCUGACGUUAGCGGCGGACGGGUGAGUAACACGUGGAUAACCUACCUAUAAGACUGGGAUAACUUCGGGAAACCGGAGCUAAUACCGGAUAAUAUAUUGAACCGCAUGGUUCAAUAGUGAAAGACGGUUUUGCUGUCACUUAUAGAUGGAUCCGCGCCGCAUUAGCUAGUUGGUAAGGUAACGGCUUACCAAGGCGACGAUGCGUAGCCGACCUGAGAGGGUGAUCGGCCACACUGGAACUGAGACACGGUCCAGACUCCUACGGGAGGCAGCAGUAGGGAAUCUUCCGCAAUGGGCGAAAGCCUGACGGAGCAACACCGCGUGAGUGAUGAAGGUCUUCGGAUCGUAAAACUCUGUUAUUAGGGAAGAACAAAUGUGUAAGUAACUAUGCACGUCUUGACGGUACCUUAUCAGAAAGCCACGGCUAACUACGUG
rnacentral:rRNA from 1 species